AUUGAACGCUGGCGGCAGGCCUAACACAUGCAAGUCGAACGAGUGGCGGACGGGUGAGUAAUGUCUGGGAAACUGCCCGAUGGAGGGGGAUCACUACUGGACAAAGUCGCAAAUACCGCAUACACUCGGAUGUGCCCAUAUGGGAUUCGCUAGUUGGUGGGGUAACGGCUCACCUAGGCGACGAUCCCUAGCUGGUCUGAGAGGAUGACCAGCCACACUGGAACUGAGACACGGUCCAGACUCCUACGGGAGGCAGCAGUGGGGAAUAUUGCACAAUGGGCGCAAGCCUGAUGCAGCCAUGCCGCGUGUAUGAAGAAGGCCUUCGGGUUGUAAAGUACUUUCAGCGAGGAGGCGUUACUCGCAGAAGAAGCACCGGCUAACUCCGUGCCAGCAGCCGCGGUGAUAC
rnacentral:rRNA from 1 species